rnacentral:rRNA from 1 species
GACGAACCGUGCGAACGUUGUUCGGAAUCACUGGGCUUAAAGGGCGCGUAGGCGGGCCGUCGCGUCCGGGGUGAAAUCCCCCCGCUCAACGGGGGGACGGCCUCGGAUACGGGCGGCCUGGAGGCGGGUAGGGGCACGCGGAACUGUGGGUGGAGCGGUGAAAUGCGUUGAGAUCCACAGGAACUCCGGUGGCGAAGGCGGCGUGCUGGACCCGUCCUGACGCUGAGGCGCGAAAGCCAGGGGAGCAAACGGG